CGAUAACUAUACUUAUACUAAUUAAAAAUCUGUCCAUUUUUUUGGAGAGGGGAACUUCAGCGCCAUUUGUCUAAUUUAAAAAAAAUUUUUUUUUUGUUUUGAUUUUCAUUUUCGUGUAGUUGAUAAGUAAUAGAAUAAGUGUAAUAAAAAUUUGAAAGCAUUCGUCAUUAACUUCAUAUAGAAAUAAAAUUUUUAAAAUAGCUUAAAUUUUAGGCCGCUAGACCACCGGGUCCCCUUAAU